GUGCUCGCUUCGGCAAGACAUAUACUAAAAUUAGAACAAUACAGAGAAGAUUAGCAUGGCCCCUGAGCAAGGA
ensembl:snRNA U6 U6 spliceosomal RNA